rnacentral:rRNA from 1 species
GGGAGGAAAAGAAACUAACAAGGAUUUUCUUAGUAGCGGCGAGCGAAAAGAAAACAGUUCAGCACUAAGUCACUUUGUCUUUAUGGCAAAUGUGAGAUGCAGUGUAUGGAAUGUCAAAUUUCUAGUAUGAGAAAUUAACGAUUUAAGUCCUUCUUAAAUGAGGCCAUUUACCCAAAGAGGGUGCCAGGCCCGUAUAACGUUAAUGAUUACUAGAUGGCAUUUCCAAAGAGUCGUGUUGCUUGAUAGUGCAGCACUAAGUGGGUGGUAAACUCCAUCUAAAACUAAAUAUAACCAUGAGACCGAUAGUAAACAAGUACCGUGAGGGAAAGUUGAAAAGAACUCUGAAUAGAGAGUUAAAUAGUACGUGAAACUGCUUAGAGGUUAAGCCCGAUGAACCUGAAUAUCCGUUAUGGAAAAUUCAUCAUUAUGAUUUUAAUAUUUAUAAUAUUAUAAUAAUGGUGUGCAUUUUUUCUAUAAAGGACAUUGUAAUCUAUUAAUAUAAAUAUAUUUAUCAUAAGAUCAAGUGCGUAAGUUUAUUCAAAUUAUUUUGCUUGCAAUUUAACAUAGAAUAAAUGCUCUUGAUUUGAUAAAGUGUUGAUAGAUUUAUUAUAUAUAGUGCUUAAAUAUUUAUAUUUUAUAAUAGCAUAUUAAUCAUUGAUUUUUAUGUUUAUUAUAUGCACUUAUAUGAUUAACAAUGCGAAAGAUUCAGGAUACCUUCGGGACCCGUCUUGAAACACGGACCAAGGAGUCUAACAUAUUUGCAAGUUAUUGGGAAUAAAAACCUAAUAGCGCAAUUAACAUAACUUAUUAAUGGGAUUAGUUUUUAGCCUAUUUAUAGUCUAUUAAUUCAAUCCCGGGGCGUUCUAUCAGUUAUGUAUAAUAAUAUUUAUAUUAUUUAUACCUCUAACUAGAGCGUACCUUGAGCAUAUAUGCUGUGACCCGAAAGAUGGUGAACUAUACUUGAUCAGGUUGAAGUCAGGGGAAACCCUGAUGGAAGACCGAAACAG